rnacentral:lncRNA from 1 species
CCUGGCCUCAAGUGAUUCUCCCACCUCAGCCUCCCAAAGUGCUGAAAUUACAGGAAUUCUAAUUUAAAUUGUUUCAGAACUGCCAGGAAAGCUGCAGAACAGAGGUCUGAAAACAUAAGAGAAGCCAGGAAAAUGCAAGUCCUUCCUCCUGACCCUAGAAAAUCUCUGCUGCCAAGGCUGGGACUCUGCUGCCAACUUCAGGCCUGGGAAAACCAAGACUCCAGGAGCUCUACCUCUAGGAUUCUUCCAAACAUCUCACCAUGUCCUCUGAUACCUCUGUAGUCAUCUGCCACAACCUACUUCUGAAUAAAUCCUACAUUCCACCU